UUUUUUCUUUCUUCUUCUUCUUCUA
rnacentral:sRNA from 1 species